AUACGUAGGUGGCAAGCGUUGUCCGGAAUUACUGGGUGUAAAGGGCGUGUAGGCGGGGAUGCAAGUCAGGUGUGAAAAUCCGAGGCUCAACUUCGGGAUUGCAUCUGAAACUGUAUCUCUUGAGUACUGGAGAGGGAAGUGGAAUUCCUGGUGUAGCGGUGAAAUGCGUAGAGAUCAGGAGGAACACCAGUGGCGAAGGCGGCUUCCUGGACAGAGACUGACGCUGAGGCGCGAAAGCGUGGGGAGCGAACAGGAUUAGAUACCCUGGUAGUCCACGCCGUAAACGAUGGAUACUAGGUGUAGGAGGUAUCGACCCCUUCUGUGCCGGAGUUAACACAAUAAGUAUCCCACCUGGGGAGUACGGCCGCAAGGCUGAA
rnacentral:rRNA from 1 species